rnacentral:tRNA from 1 species
UCCAGGGUAGCCUAGUGGACAUGGCAUCUGCCCGGUAAGCGAAACGUUGUGGGUUCGAUUCCCGCCCCUGGAC